CAGUCGCCACGGGAAUACGUAGGUGGCAAGCGUUGUCCGGAAUUAUUGGGCGUAAAGGGCUCGCAGGCGGUUUCUUAAAUCUGAUGUGAAAACCCCCGGCUCAACCGGGGAGGGUCAUUGGAAACUGGGAAACUUGAGUGCAGAAGAGGAGAGUGGAAUUCCACGUGUAGCGGUGAAAUGCGUAGAGAUGUGGAGGAACACCAGUGGCGAAGGCGACUCUCUGGUCUGUAACUGACGCUGAGGAGCGAAAGCGUGGGGAGCGAACAGGAUUAGAUACCCGAGUAGUCCCUGUCUCUUAUAC
rnacentral:rRNA from 1 species